CAAUAGCGUAUAUUAAAGUUGUUGCAGUUAAAAAGCUCGUAGUUGGAUUUCUGGUUGAAGCGACCGGUCGGGCGUUGAUUUGUCUGCACUGGAGUCGGUUUUGGCCAUCCUCUAGGAAAGUGCGUCUGGUAUUAAGUUAUCGGGCGUAUGAUCCUGGUCUUUUACUGUGAAAAAAUUAGAGUGUUUAAAGCAGGCCUUCGCCUUGAAUACAUUAGCAUGGAAUAAUAAGAUAGGACUUUGGUCUAUUUUGUUGGUUUGCAGACCGAAGUAAUGAUUAAUAGGGAUAGUUGGGGGUAUUUAUAUUCCGAUGUCAGAGGUGAAAUUCUUAGAUUUUCGGAAGAUAAACUUAUGCGAAAGCAUUUACCAAGGAUGUUUNCAUUAA
rnacentral:rRNA from 1 species